GCCAACGUUCAUAUCACGUUGAAUACACCAGUUCUCGUCCGAUCACUGAAGUUAAGCAACGUUGAGCGUGGAUAGUACUUGGAUAUGUAAUUAUUCGACUUCAAUGAUUUCA
rnacentral:rRNA from 1 species